rnacentral:rRNA from 1 species
UGGGGAAUUUUGGACAAUGGGCGAAAGCCUGAUCCAGCAAUGCCGCGUGUGUGAAGAAGGCCUUCGGGUUGUAAAGCACUUUUGUCCGGAAAGAAAUCCUUGGCUCUAAUACAGUCGGGGGAUGACGGUACCGGAAGAAUAAGCACCGGCUAACUACGUGCCAGCAGCCGCGGUAAUACGUAGGGUGCAAGCGUUAAUCGGAAUUACUGGGCGUAAAGCGUGCGCAGGCGGUUUGCUAAGACCGACGUGAAAUCCCCGGGCUCAACCUGGGAACUGCAUUGGUGACUGGCAGGCUAGAGUAUGGCAGAGGGGGGUAGAAUUCCACGUGUAGCAGUGAAAUGCGUAGAGAUGUGGAGGAAUACCGAUGGCGAAGGCAGCCCCCUGGGCCAAUACUGACGCUCAUGCACGAAAGCGUGGGGAGCAAACAGGAUUAGAUACCCUGGUAGUCCACGCCCUAAACGAUGUCAACUAGUUGUUGGGGAUUCAUUUCCUAGUAACGUAGCUAACGCGUGAAGUUGACCGCCUGGGGAGUACGGUCGCAAGAUUAAAACUCAAAGGAAUUGACGGGGUCAUAGCUGUUUCCU